AAGAGCUCUAAUGACAUUUAUAUUAUUUUUACUCUCAUUUUGUGAGUGAGAGUCCAAGGGAAUUAACGAGGGAGGUUCUGGGGGCUGUCGGCCGCAUUAUGGCUGCCAGCGAAUGGAGGGAGCUUUCUGUGCUUCUCCUGCUCAACCCUGUACUUAAGCUCCGCCUCCACACUCAUGCAUCACCCCCAGACUCAAGCAAAUGACCUCACCAACUGGAAGAGGCCUAGAAGUGCAAACUUUACCUCCC